AGUGGCGGACGGGUGAGUAACGCGUGAGAAUCUGCCUUGGGGUCGGGGACAACCACUGGAAACGGUGGCUAAUACCGGAUAAGCCGAUUGGUGAAAGAUUUAUUGCCCGAAGAGGAGCUCGCGUCUGAUUAGCUAGUUGGUGAGGUAAGAGCUCACCAAGGCAGCGAUCAGUAGCUGGUCUGAGAGGACGAUCAGCCACACUGGGACUGAGACACGGCCCAGACUCCUACGGGAGGCAGCAGUGGGGAAUUUUCCGCAAUGGGCGAAAGCCUGACGGAGCAAGACCGCGUGAGGGAGGAAGGCUCUUGGGUUGUAAACCUCUUUUCUCAGGGAAGAAGCUCUGACGGUACCUGAGGAAUCAGCCUCGGCUAACCCCGUGCCAGCAGCCGCGGUAAUACGGAGGAGGCAAGCGUUAUCCGGAAUUAUUGGGCGUAAAGCGUCCGCAGGUGGCGAUUCAAGUCUGCUGUCAAAGCACGGGGCUUAACUCCGUAAAGGCAGUGGAAACUGAAUAGCUAGAGUGCCGUAGGGGUAGAGGGAAUUCCCGGUGUAGCGGUGAAAUGCGUAGAGAUCGGGAAGAACAUCGGUGGCGAAAGCGCUCUACUGGACGGCAACUGACACUCAGGGACGAAAGCUAGGCGAGCGAAUGGGAUUAGAUACCCC
rnacentral:rRNA from 1 species